GCCCUGAUGGUGCAACGGCUAAGCACUUGGCUGCUAACCAAAAGGUUGGUGGUUUGAACCCACCCUGUGGCU
rnacentral:tRNA from 1 species